UACGUAGGGUGCAAGCGUUGUCCGGAAUUAUUGGGCGUAAAGAGCUCGUAGGCGGUUUGUCACGUCGGAUGUGAAACCCUGAGGCUCAACCUCAGGCCUGCAUUCGAUACGGGCAGACUAGAAUUCGGCAGGGGAGACUGGAAUUCCUGGUGUAGCGGUGAAAUGCGCAGAUAUCAGGAGGAACACCGGUGGCGAAGGCGGGUCUCUAGGCCGACACUGACGCUGAGGAGCGAAAGCGUGGGGAGCGAACAGG
rnacentral:rRNA from 1 species